AGGGAAUCUUCCGCAAUGGACGAAAGUCUGACGGAGCAACGCCGCGUGAGUGAUGAAGGUUUUCGGAUCGUAAAGCUCUGUUGUUAGGGAAGAACAAGUGCCGUUUGAAUAAGGCGGCACCUUGACGGUACCUAACCAGAAAGCCACGGCUAACUACGUGCCAGCAGCCGCGGUAAUACGUAGGUGGCAAGCGUUGUCCGGAAUUAUUGGGCGUAAAGCGCGCGCAGGCGGUCUCUUAAGUCUGAUGUGAAAGCCCACGGCUCAACCGUGGAGGGUCAUUGGAAACUGGGAGACUUGAGUACAGAAGAGGAGAGUGGAAUUCCACGUGUAGCGGUGAAAUGCGUAGAUAUGUGGAGGAACACCAGUGGCGAAGGCGACUCUCUGGUCUGUAACUGACGCUGAGGCGCGAAAGCGUGGGGAGCAAAC
rnacentral:rRNA from 1 species